UACAGAGGUCUCAAGCGUUGUUCGGAUUCAUUGGGCGUAAAGCGCUCGCAGGUGGUCCGUUGCGUCGUGCGUGAAAGACCCCGGCUCAACCGGGGAGGGUCGUGCGAUACGGGCGGACUGGAGGCCAGUAGGGGGAUGCGGGAAUUCCGGGUGUAGUGGUGGAAUGCGUAGAGAUCCGGAGGAACACCAGCGGCGAAGGCGGCACCUGGACUGGUCCUGACACUCAGGAGCGAA
rnacentral:rRNA from 1 species